GUACACAAAAAAGAAAUUUUAAAAAAAAUUUAACAGAAGAAGAAAUAUAGAUAAAAUUUUUGUUCAUUAUUAUCAAUACAAUCUAAAAAGACAAUACAACUAUAACUAAAAUUCCAAAAUCAUUCCAAAUAUUACAGGUGAUUCAAGAAAUUCAAAUUCAAUUGAUUCCAAACAUUACAGAGAAACUUUACAUUAGAUAAUUCCAAACAUUACAGGUGAUUCAAGAAAUUUUUGAAGAAGCAGCUGUUGAACAGGAGGAAUAUGAGAGGAACAAAUAUUGGAGAAAAAAAAAGGGUUGCAAAAGAAAACUAUGCAAAUCAAAGUUAUAAAAUUAUAAUUUUGUAAAAUUGUUUUGAAUUAAAAGUAUUUAAAUUUUUAAAAAAAAUUAGUUUCUUAAAUUAUCAACUAACUGGAAAACUAUGCUAGAUCAUUACCAGAGCUAGGAUGUCGAUCUUCUAUAAGUUCUUAAUAAGCAUGCAAAAGAAAAACAAAAAACUAUUACAAUUGAGACAAAAAAAAAAGGUAAAGUGCGAAAAUGCAAAAAAAAAACUAUUUUAACGCUUGCUAUUUAAGAAUUCGUAAAAAUAAUAAAAAUUAAUGAAACGUUUAGAUGAAAUCAAUAACAAAUUAAUAAAAAACCGGUCCUAAUAAUAUCCUGUGCAGAAAAA